rnacentral:rRNA from 1 species
GACGUAGGGCGCGAGCGUUGUCCGGAUUUAUUGGGCGUAAAGAGCUCGUAGGCGGUGUGUCGCGUUCGGCCGUGAAAACCUGCAGCUUAACUGUGGGCUUGCGGUCGAUACGGGCAUCACUGGAGUUCGGCAGGGAGACUGGAAUUCCUGGUGAUAGCGGUGAAAUGCGCAGAUAUCAGGAGGAACACCGGUGGCGAAGGCGGG